AUUGAACGCUGGCGGCAGGCCUAACACAUGCAAGUCGAACGAGUGGCGGACGGGUGAGUAAUGUCUGGGAAACUGCCCGAUGUAGGGGGAUAACUACUGGAAACGGUAGCUAAUACCGCAUACCAUCGGAUGUGCCCAGAUGGGAUUAGCUAGUAGGUGGGGUAACGGCUCACCUAGGCGACGAUCCCUAGCUGGUCUGAGAGGAGGACCAGCCACACGGGAACUGAGACACGGUCCAGACUCCGACGGGAGGCAGCAGUGGGGAAUAUUGAACAAUGGGCGCAAGCCUGAUGCAGCCAUGCCGAGUGUAUGAAGAAGGCCUUCGGGUUGUAAAGUACUUUCAGCGAGGAGGCGUUACCCGCAGAAGAAGCACCGGCUAACUCCGUGCCAGCAGCCGCGGUAAUUC
rnacentral:rRNA from 1 species